AUAUGUGGAACGCUUUCUGUGCACAGGGUUGCACUCACAUGAAAAAUUUGUUGUGAAAAAUAAUUGAAAGAUAAAUGCAUUAGAGGAAAUAGAUAUAACUUGCAUAAAAAUAAAUAAGUAUAGAAAACUAAAACCAUACUCCACCACCACGGCUCUCACCAUUUGUAUGUUUUAACAAAUUACUAAGAUUUUAUUCAAGAAAACAUCGAAUCCAUCAUAUAAUUUUGACGUUCACGGCGGUUGGACUCGUCUUGUCGGAAUUCACGCAACUCCUCAUAGACUGGGUCAUCUGUUUCCAAUUCAUAACGACACAUUGGGCAUGAGUUUGCCUAGAAGAAGUGAGCAAAGCAUAAAAGGAAUAAUAAUAACAAACAAAACCAAAAUAAAGCAUGAGCAACAAACACAUUUCACCCAUCUUCUGAGCACACAUCCAACUAAAUAUGUACAUAGAUAUGAUUAUUUACCUUUUUCAACCACAACAGCACACACUCCUCGUGAAACUCGUGCUUACACGGUAAAACUUUAUACUUUUCAUCGAUCUCCGCCGGCUGCUUGCAAACGGCACAUUCCAACUCCUGCUUAACAUCCGCCUCGACAAUAACAUGCUCCGGCAGUGUGGCGAUUGCGCGUUUAGACGCCUCCGGCACCUCAAUUUC